GGUUUUAAAGGGCAACCAGACAGACUCCGCCCCCUCCUCCACCUCCACCCGACACCCUGAGAGAACAGCAAACACAGCAUGAGGUGUACAAACAGCAGCAGGUGUCACAGUUGCGGAGAAAGCUGAAGCAGAGCAGAAGCAGCUGAAGUGUGGCUUUACAAGGCAGCAGGACAGACUCCACCCCUGAAUCCACCUCCACCUUGUAAACUGAGAGGACAACAAAAGACACCAUGAUCCAUCAGCUGUGGUGGUCACAUGACCUCCCUGUCCCCUCAUUGUCUUCUAGUCUCAGUCAGAUUGUGUCUCAGUUUGUUCCUGAUGUGUUGCUGACUCGUUCUUUGGUAACUAGUCUGCAGCGUCCUGUAAAGUGCUGCAGACGUGUUGGAUGAAGAGCAGAAGAACAGACAGACUGAGCCUCCACAGUCGGCCAUGCCUCACACGGCUCUUUACUUUGGGCUUCAGCAUUAGCAACGUGUCUGAGGAGGAUGUCCGUUUGAGAGACCAUAACUGCGCCUUUUUUGAAAUUCACUUGAGGACACGCCGUUGGAUAAACGCGUCUAUUUUAAACUUAAGGAGAAUGUGUCACAAAGCUGAAUGACUAUGGAAGAAAACUAAAGUGGAAGUGCACAGGCUCUCUCAGAGAUCUCAUGCUCUCCUUAAAUGAAAUGGUGAAAAUGGCUGCUCUGAUUUUUCUAGGUUCUGUGAGAUUAUUAUAUUAUCUUAUGCCACAUUAUACCCCUGAUUAAUGAUUGUGAAAUUAUUAUGUAGUCUUAGUUUGCAUUAUUCUCCUGACUUAGAAGAAGGUGAUAACGAUUACAUUUGUUAAACUGAUUUGCAUUACAUUAGACUGCUGAUUUAUUGUGUAUGAAUGAUAUUGUUUAUGAUGCAUUAUACUGCUGAGUUAUAAGAAAUGCUGUUUUCAGAGAGUCAGGACCUUGUUGUCUGAUAGUAGAGGAGACAGAGAGCACAUUCCACGGGAGCUUCACUCCCACCGUUGUUGAAGGCAGACGAAAUAGGGAGCCAAGGCCAUAAGUCAGGCUCGCUUUUGAUUAGAGAGUCCCAAACAUGAUAGCUUGAACCAAGUUUGAAUAAUUAAGAGACCAAUUGAGGAACAUAAUAAGUGAGGGAGGCGUAGUAGGGAAAGGUGUUUGUUUUUGUCUCAUGUCUCAGAGGGUGUUGUCUCAGUCCCUCGGCCAGAGGACGGGUAGAGAGGGUCAGAGCGAGGGCAGUGGACCUGGGAACGGUGACCCGGGCCCAUGAUGCCAUUGAUGGACAUGGAGGCAGCUGAGUGGGUCGAGGAGUGACACAGCGCAACGUAUGGUGACCUCUUGUGGUCAAGAGGUCAAAAGCGGGAGUGUGGAGAUCAGGGAAAUAUUUUACUGAUGAUUUCAUAACCAUCAUCAUUACCAUUACAUUAAUUAUCAUUUCAUCAAAGCAUUUAUUGAAGCUGUUGGCCUUACGUUAAAACUUGUAUUACAGGUGCAGUCAACCUAUUACAUACAUACUUUCAGUUCGGUUAUUAUCCACAUGAGAAUUGGCCUCUCUUUUCAUAAGUCAGAGUUCGAGUGAGGUCGAUACACACACACACACACACACACACACACACACACACACACACACACAGUAGUUAAGUUCAUGUUUUGGGUAAGAGUGGCAGACACAAUUUUUCAUGUUUUCAGGAGAUAAGCGAAAAGUUAGACGUCAACAGAAUGCACCUGGCCUACAGACGGAGGAAAUGUUCUUUUCCCAUGUGUCAAAAGUCAACAGAACAUUUGUGGUUUGAAACUUACGUCUGUAUUGUAUCUGUUUGACGUAAGAGGAGGCGUCAGAAAAUAUUCCCUGAUGCUAUAAGACAGUUGCAUGUGUAAUUUUGGGGCGAGAUCGAUG
ensembl:lncRNA